UCGGGCCCGGGUGCGGCGGGGCGGAACCGUGAGAACCGCGCAGGCGCCUAGUCAGGCCCCGCCCACCGCCGCCGCGCAGGCGCCUCGUGGCGCCCCGCGGACCGCGCAGGCGUGGUUUUCAGGCCAACAUGGCCGUGCUGCUGCUGCUCCGCGCCCUCCGCCGGGGUCCAGGCCCGGGUCCUGGGCGGCUGUGGGGCCCAGGCGCGGGCUGGAGUCCAGGGUUCCCCGCCGGGUCCUGGAGGGGGCGGCCGUACUUGGCCAGCAGGCCUCCGGGGGACCUCGCCGAGGCUGGAGGCCGAGCCCUGCAGAGCUUACAGUUGAGACUGCUCACCUCUACCUUUGAAGGGAUCUACGGAUUGUUGUUGAAACAACAUUUAGUUCAGAAUCCAGUCAGACUCUGGCAACUUUUAGGUGGUACUUUCUAUUUUAACACCUCAAGGAUGAAGCAGAAGAAUAAGGAGAAGGAUAAGUCGAAGGGGAAGGCUCCUGAAGAGGACGAAGAGGAUAGGAGACGCCGUGAGCGGGACGACCAGAUGUACCGAGAGCGGCUGCGCACCUUGCUGGUCAUUGCAGUUGUCAUGAGCCUCCUGAAUGCUCUCAGCACCGGUGGAGGCAGCAUUUCCUGGAACGACUUUGUCCACGAGAUGCUGGCCAAGGGUGAGGUGCAGCGUGUCCAGGUGGUGCCUGAGAGCGACAUGGUGGAAGUCUACCUGCACCCUGGAGCCGUGGUGUUUGGGCGGCCUCGACUAGCCUUGAUGUACCGAAUGCAGGUUGCAAAUAUUGACAAGUUUGAAGAAAAGCUUCGAGCAGCUGAAGAUGAGCUGAAUAUCGAGGCCAAGGACAGGAUCCCGGUUUCCUACAGGCGAACAGGAUUCUUUGGAAACGCCCUGUACUCCGUGGGGAUGACAGCGGUGGGCCUGGCCAUCCUGUGGUGUGUUUUCCGUCUGGCCGGAAUGACUGGCAGGGAAGGUGGAUUCAGUGCUUUUAAUCAGCUUAAAAUGGCUCGUUUCACGAUUGUGGAUGGGAAGACGGGGAAAGGAGUCAGCUUCAAAGACGUGGCAGGAAUGCACGAAGCCAAACAGGAGGUCCGCGAGUUUGUGGAUUAUCUGAAGAGCCCAGAGCGCUUCCUCCAGCUUGGCGCCAAGGUCCCAAAGGGCGCACUGCUGCUCGGUCCCCCUGGCUGUGGGAAGACGCUGCUGGCCAAGGCGGUGGCCACGGAGGCUCAGGUGCCCUUCCUGGCGAUGGCUGGCCCAGAGUUCGUGGAGGUCAUUGGAGGCCUCGGCGCUGCCCGCGUGCGAAGCCUCUUCAAGGAAGCCCGAGUCCGGGCCCCCUGCAUCGUCUACAUCGAUGAGAUUGACGCGGUGGGCAAGAAGCGCUCCACCACCAUGUCCGGCUUCUCCAACACGGAGGAGGAGCAGACGCUCAACCAGCUUCUGGUAGAAAUGGACGGAAUGGGCACCACAGACCAUGUCAUCGUCCUGGCAUCCACGAACCGAGCUGACAUUUUGGACGGUGCUCUGAUGAGGCCAGGCCGACUGGACCGGCACGUCUUCAUUGAUCUGCCUACACUGCAGGAGAGGCGGGAGAUUUUUGAGCAGCACCUGAAGAGCCUGAAGCUGACCCAGUCCAGCACCUUUUACUCCCAGCGUCUGGCAGAGCUGACACCAGGAUUCAGCGGGGCUGACAUCGCCAACAUCUGCAACGAGGCUGCCCUGCACGCAGCGCGGGAGGGACACACUUCGGUGCACACGCUCAACUUCGAGUACGCCGUGGAGCGCGUCCUUGCAGGCUGCAGGCUUGGCCAUGCCAUCCCUGUUGAACUGAGCUUGUCACUCCUGGUGUCGACAGCCUGCCUGCACUUGUCCGUACUAGAAACACACUCGUUUGUUUUCAGGCACUGCCAAAAAGAGCAAGAUCCUGUCCAAGGAAGAACAGAAAGUGGUUGCAUUUCACGAGUCGGGCCACGCCUUGGUGGGCUGGAUGCUGGAGCACACGGAGGCUGUGAUGAAGGUCUCCAUAGCCCCUCGGACGAACGCCGCCCUGGGCUUUGCUCAGAUGCUUCCCAGAGACCAGUACCUCUUCACCAAGGAGCAGCUGUUUGAGCGGAUGUGCAUGGCCCUGGGGGGCCGGGCCUCGGAAGCACUGUCCUUCAACAAGGUCACUUCCGGGGCACAGGAUGACCUGAGGAAGGUCACCCGCAUUGCCUACUCCAUGGUGAAGCAGUUUGGGAUGGCACCUGGCAUCGGCCCCAUCUCCUUCCCUGAGGCACAGGAGGGACUCGUGGGCAUCGGGCGGCGCCCCUUCAGCCAAGGCCUGCAGCAGAUAAUGGACCAUGAAGCAAGACUGCUGGUGGCCAAGGCCUACAGACACACCGAGAAGGUGCUGCAGGACAACCUGGACAAGCUGCAGGCGCUGGCAAACGCCCUUCUGGAAAAGGAAGUGAUAAACUAUGAGGACAUCGAGGCUCUCAUUGGCCCGCCGCCCCACGGGCCGAAGAAAAUGAUCGCACCGCAGAGGUGGGUCGACGCCCAGAGGGAGAAACAGGACUUGGGAGAGGAGGAGGCCGAAGAGACCCAGCAGCCCCCACUUGGAGGCGAAGAGCCGACUUGGCCCAAGUAGCUGGGACGUGUUGGCCGCACGUGCGGGUGACCCAAGAACUGAGGGCUCACUCAGCCACCCUGCAUUGCUUUUCAACUGAGGUUUGCACUUCCUCUUGCGGCCCUCAGUAGUCCCUGUGCAGCGACUUCUGAGAUCUGUUUGUUGAUUACCCUUUUCAUGAUUGUAAGUUUCUCUGCAGAAACAACUGGCCAAGCCUUGUGUGUGUGUGUCGUCUCCCCUGUGGGGAAGGUUCUCAGUGCGUUCCCGAGUGAGCAUGGAACACCUGAGUUCCCAAGGUUCUAGACAGUCGUUCCCAGCGUGGCUGAGGCCACCCAGAGGCAGCAGAGCAUUCAGACUCCGAACAGACCGCCGUUCAUGCCGACGCUUGCACAGCCUCCCAGUUCCUGUGGCUCCCUCAGAAUGCUAACAAGAUCGGACAUGAAAGGACCCUCUGAGCCAGCAGCCCCGUCCUCCAGCUCACUCGUCAAUGGGGCCACACAGUCUGGCCCAGGCACUGGGCUCCAGGGGACUCAACACUGCCCCCUGCUGCCAUGUGGACGGUGCAAGUUGAGGACUUCUUGCUGGUCUAGUCACACAUGCAGUGUUGGGGGAUGCCUUGGUUUUUUCUGCCCUGAGAACUGUUGAGACACUUUACUAAUAAACUCUGUGGUUGGAAAAUUA